CUGUUAUUUAGUAAUCUGAUGCUAUUUCAAUUACAUGCUCAAACACUUUGGGAUCCCAUCACACUGACUGUAAGAAAUCCAGUUAUUGCCUCAUAUUUCUAGGAAUCUCUGGAAUGAUAAAUAUUUCCACAAAUAUAGUGAAUUGUCAUUGCCACUUCAGCUAGGCAUCUGUGUCUCAACCAUUCUGUACUAAGCAUCUAUCUCAAGACCAAAGUGUUACCCCUUUCACUAUCCCACCUGUUUUCAACCUGGGGCAAACAUUUCCCUGGCUGUACAUGAUGGCCUUCCAAGGACCAACAAGAACAGUGAUUCCGGAUUCUCAAUUUGUGUAUGAUUGCUUCCCUAAAAUUGAUCUGCCUGAGAAUAUGCCAGUGGUUUGCAGGUUCUCUUUUCUGACUGCCCCUUCCAUUUUUCCUCUUUCAUGCUUUGUUAAGGAAAGGCAUUGGUCUUGCCCAUUCUAGAUCUUUCUCUGUGCAUUGGCUUGCGGUGGAAAAGCUUCUAAGGAGCAAUCAAGGGGACGCAUUAGAGUGCUGGUGCAAGAAAAUGAAUGGUUAUCAGUGCAGUUGUAACAGAGCCUUUAGCAACUCAGGUGGUUCCAAUUCUUUGCUUGCAUUAAAGCCGAAGGAAGACUUAAAGGGGUUGUCAAUGGGGAGGUGAUGUAAAUUAAUUUAUUAGGUUUUUUGCUUUGUAUGUCACUUGUAAAGAAUUAGGGAAAAUGAAAGCCAUUACUAUAAUAAAGUUCCUUGCAUUUGCACUUACUUGUAUAUAUGAACAGUUGUCUAAAAUGCUUACAUAAAGAAUAAAGUUGAUAAAUUGUCUCUAGUAAUGGAAAAUGUUCUAUGUAUAUGUAAAGUAAUUUUAAAAAGCCACAUCCAUCUCAUUAAGAAAUGCCUUUCCUGUGAAAACAUAUGUUUUAAAUUUGAAAUUACUUAUCAAAAUCACCUACAAAUAAAAAAUUAGUAUGAUAACUUAAUUAGAAGAAACUCUUUAGCAUUUAGAUCUGUACAGCUACUGGAAAUUAAAUAAAAUGCAUUUUCAUUAAUUUACUUAUUUUUAUUGCAGAGAAUUAUAAUAGGGUGAUCAAUAAAAUACUUUCAAGCAUAAAAUUUACAUUAUGAUAAAAAUCUAUGGGGGAAAUUGAUUGGAAAUAUAAGUUCUGGGAGGAAAAGGAAUGAUGUAAAGUUUGGACUGUUAAAAUAGAGCUUGUUAAUGUUUUAAAUGGAUGAAGUAUAUGAAAUCUCAAUAUUCUGUGGAAAGUGUUUAACAAAUGAUGCAACAUUUGGAUUUCUUUUUUUUUUUUAAUGUUUGGAUUUUAAAAUGGCAAUAUUCCUAAUAUGCCACAAGUUGGUCUUUGCAGUUAUUUAAACUUGUGACGAAAAAUUUUAAAUUACCAAAUUAAAAAAUGUAUGACAAGAUACAUAGAUUUUUUUUUUUUAUUAAAUCUUUUAGAGGAUUUUCAAGCCCCAAACUGAAACAACCCUAAACCCCUGCAAAACGAAAAACAAACUCCUGGCUAUUGCCUUAAACCUUCACUGCAAGGAAGUAGCUAGUUUUAACCUGAAACUUUGAGAAUAAGAAAAUGGAUUAAUGAACAUACAGGGAAGGUAAAUAGACCUCAGAUGAACCUGGUUUGGGAGUUUGGGAGCACAAACUACUCUAUAUGGGUGCCCUAGUGGACCAGUCUUUGCCUGGCUCUGGCUUCUUUUACUAUGUACAUGUCCCUGUCCCUGAGCCCUUAUUAAAGGAGUACUCUCCCCUUCUCAUCUCAGUGAGAGUACCUUUGAACCUAAACCUUUUAAAUCUAGAACCCAGCUUCUAAAAGCACAGGGAUAUGGAAUAAUCUCCUUUUCUCAGGUGAAGCCCCAAGUUUCACCUGUGAAACUUGCCUGUCAACCAGGAUGAUAAGUGUUACUGCUCAUUUCCUUUGGAAAGCUGGAAUCCAUGCUUAUUCCCAGCUGUGAUCCUACCCUCAGGCUUCCCGUGGUAGACAGACAUCAGACCUUUUGACGCUAUCUAGAUGAUUUGUUUUAAAUAGCAUCACUUACCAGAAGUUAAAAGUCCAGAUGGGGCAACAAUCUGGCCAUUUUUUUUUUUUUUUCUGACUUGUUUCCAGUGAUGUAAAUGUUAAAUGUGAGCAUCUCUUUCUAGUCUUUUGGUGAGUGAGGGCUUGAAAGAUAAUGCACAGACCUUCCAAGAAUUGGUAAGAAACUCUAGCACAGGGAAGAUAAAUUUACCUAUUAGAAUACAAUCUGCAGAGAUAAAGCUAUGUUAAAUGGCACAUGCAAUUUACAUCACUUAAGGGAACACAGCCUGCUCAGCUGAAACAUUUUACAUUUGAUUAUUUCAAUAUCUCUUCCAAGUUCAAUGCAAGGGCUUAAAAUACAUCAGAAAAUUAAAAGGACCUUCAUGGGAUUUCUUCCCCCGACCCUUCAGAAUCAAAGGUGGCCUUUCCCAAGAAGGCUGCUCUUCUCUGCAGCUCUUAAGGGACUGCAUUGCAAACUAACCAAAGAUUAUCUUAUUUCACAGGUCAAAGUUUCCCUGCUGAUUCCACCUUUCACAUCCUCCCAAUUUAGCAAAAAGAACCCAAGGAGUUGCCUAUUAGUCUCUCUCAGGGUCAGAGUUUAUCCUCUUGAUUCCUAUAGAUUAUCCUAUAGAAUCCUAUAGUUUCUCCUAAGAACUCCAGGAACAAAAGAGGCAGAUCUGCAAUCUAUCAGCUAUGUUGCUUGGUUCCUUUGCGGCCAGGCUAUGUGGGGUUGGGUUUAUAUAAUCUUCUUUUUAAUGGGUAGAAAAUGAUACACGAAAACAUUGUCAGCAAUUCAAACUUUACAGGUGAAGUUAAAACCAAAACAAAGCAAAAAAUCAGUAAUCCCAUUUACCACUCUAGAAAUAUUACUUUUGUAUAUAUUCUUCCAGAUCCACUCUCCUCCCUAACUCAGCUUAAAAACAUAUAUGAGUGUAAAUGUCUUUCAGCAGCUUUUAAAACUCGAUGCAUUUGGAAUGCUUCCUUGUGAAUGGAGAUUUGGCUACCUCACUUUAAAAAAUUGCCUUAUAGUAUUAAUGUCUUCUAAUAGGAUAGUUUAUUUUGAAAUUCUCCUCCUGAUAGGUUCCAAUUUCUCAUAACUCUACAGCUACCUUGUACUCGAUUCUUUGUACAUACUUAAAAAGGGUUUCCCUUUUUUUUCUUCUUAGCUUGUUUGCCCUUUCCUGAUGUUAAGGAAUAUCUUUUGAGAUUUUUUUUAGAUACAAAUUCAUUGUCAUUUGUAGACCUUGGAAAAAUUUUCUCCUUCUCUGUAUCUUUUAAGGUUUUAAUGGUGUCUUCAGUCUUAGAGAAGUUAGAUUCUCGAUAUAGCCAAUUAUAUACAUUUUUUACUUUUAUUUUUGUUUUGUUGCUUUAAGACCUUUAAAAACCAACUCAUAAAAUAGUGUCAUAUAUAUGAUAUAUUAUGACUAUACAUCAUAUAAUUUAAACAUUUUAUGUUCAUAUGAAUGAUUUGUUUUUGAGAAUGUUGUGAGCUUGGACCUUAUUUUGUAUCUAAAUUGACAGCUGAUUGUGUCUGUAUUGUUUAUUGAACAGUAUGUCUUUUUCCCUACAUAACCUGAAUGCGACCUUUACCAAAUAUUAAAUCAGUUUUGUUUUUGGAUCUCUAUUGUGCUCCAUUGCUAUACUUGUCUGGCACAGCCCCAGUAAUAUGCUUGGCUAGAUAGCAGACUAUAAUUUUUUUUUUUUUUUUUGUCUUUUUGUUGUUGUUGCUAUUUCUUGGGCUGCUCCCGCGGCAUAUGGAGGUUCCCAGGCUAGGGGUUGAAUCGGAGCUAUAGCCACCAGCCUACACCAGAGCCACAGCAACUCGGGAUCCGAGCCGUGUCUGCAGCCUACACCACAGCUCACGGAAACGCCAGAUCGUUAACCCACUGAGCAAGGGCAGGAACCGAACCCGCAACCUCAUGGUUCCUAGUCGGAUUCGUUAACCACUGCACCACGACGGGAACUCCCAGACUAUAAUGUUUUGAUACCUGGUAAAGUGAGUCCCUACACUUUUAAUUCUUAGAGUAUGCAAUUAUUUUUGUUUUCUGCUCUUUGUUUUUGUCUUUUUAGGGCUGCACCCACAGCAUAUGGAGGUUCCCAGGCUAGGGGUGGAAUUGAAACUGUAGCCUCUGGCCUACACCACAGCCACAUCAAUGCAGGAUCCAAGUUGCAUCUGCGACCCACACCACAGCUCAUGGUAAUGCUGGAUCCUUACCCACUGAGUGAGGCCAGGAAUUGAACCUGCGUCCUCAUGGAUACUAAUCAAGUUCCUUUCUGCUGAGCCAUGAUGGGAACUUAAGCGCUUUGUUAUUAAAGACCUUCUUACUUAAUGGUAUUUUAAUGUUACUGCUUUUGAACUGGAAUGUUUUCUUUUUGGCUUAUCAUGUAUUUGGUCAUUCUCUUGUUCUAACUAUCAACUGGUUGUUUUGGAUUUUCUGGGUAAUUCUAUUCUUUGCAAGCAAUUAGUUUUAUAUAUUCCUUCCAAUAUUCAUCAUUUGUUUGUUUUUAUUUUAUUAUUGCUUAUUGCUAAGACUGUUAGAUAAUUUGAAUACUAGGUGUAAGAGAAGGCAUCUGUUCUAUUCCUGACUUGUAAUACUCAUAAUAUUUCAGCAUUAAGUAUAUUUGCAAGUUUAUUCUUAAGUAUCCUUCUCAAGUGAAGUUCCUGUGUGUCACUAACUUGUUCACUUAAAUAAUUGGAUUUAAGUUUUAUUAACUUCUCAGUAUAGCUGUUUAAUAUAGUCUUUUGCUCACUUAAUGAAGUAGAGUAUUUUGAUAUAUAUUUUUUCUAUUAAAACAUUCUUGCAUUCUUGGGAUAAAUAUUGUUAGGUUGUAAGAAGUAUGUGUAUUUUCCAGUCAGUGAAGUGAUGAAGUUGAUUUGUUAAUAGUUAUAUAAAUUUUUUUAUUUGCAUUCUUUAAGCAUAAUUGAACUGUAAUUUACAAUGUUGUGUUAGUUUCAGGUUACAACAAAUUGAUUUAGUUAUACAUACAUAUAUUUUUCAGUUUCUUUUCCAUUAUAGGUUAUUACAAGAUUUUAUAUAGUUCAUCAGGUCCUUGUUUGUUUAUUUUAUGUUAAUUCCAAACUCUUAAUUUAUCUACCCCUACCCCAUUAUCCCUUUGGUAACCAUAAGUAUGCUUUCUAUGUCUGUAAUUCUAUUUUUGUUUUGUAAAUAAAUUCAUUUGUAUCAAU
rnacentral:lncRNA from 1 species